UAGGGAAUCUUCGGCAAUGGGGGCAACCCUGACCGAGCAACGCCGCGUGAGUGAAGAAGGUUUUCGGAUCGUAAAGCUCUGUUGUAAGAGAAGAACGUGUGUGAGAGUGGAAAGUUCACACAGUGACGGUAACUUACCAGAAAGGGACGGCUAACUACGUGCCAGCAGCCGCGGUAAUACGUAGGUCCCGAGCGUUGUCCGGAUUUAUUGGGCGUAAAGCGAGCGCAGGCGGUUUAAUAAGUCUGAAGUUAAAGGCAGUGGCUUAACCCUUGUUCGCUUUGGAAACUGUUAAACUUGAGUGCAGGAGGGGAGAGUGGAAUUCCAUGUGUAGCGGUGAAAUGCGUAGAUAUAUGGAGGAACACCGGUGGCGAAAGCGGCUCUCUGGUCUGUAACUGACGCUGAGGCUCGAAAGCGUGGGGAGCAAACAGG
rnacentral:rRNA from 1 species